rnacentral:rRNA from 1 species
UACGAAGGGGGCUAGCGUUGCUCGGAAUUACUGGGCGUAAAGCGCACGUAGGCGGAUCGUUAAGUCGGGGGUGAAAUCCUGGAGCUCAACUCCAGAACUGCCUUCGAUACUGGCGAUCUCGAGUUCGGGAGAGGUGAGUGGAACUGCGAGUGUAGAGGUGAAAUUCGUAGAUAUUCGCAAGAACACCAGUGGCGAAGGCGGCUCGCUGGCCCGGAACUGACGCUGGGACGCGAAAGCGUGGGGAGCAAACAGG